rnacentral:lncRNA from 1 species
CUAUCUUUUACAAAGGAUCUCUGCUCUAACGUGACACUUCCUACGUCGUCCAUGGGCGCUCAGAGCCCGGGAAAAACCUGAAUGUCGUCAUCCCAGCCCCAGGCUGAAACACAUUAUCGCCUUUCUCAAGUGGCCGAUCAAGGGACUGUGGGCUUAGGCGCGUGACCUGGCCUCCCCGUCUUUGUGAUUUUUUCCUCUGUUUGCCGAAAAGGAGAUUCCCGGGUCGGAAUAUUAUCGCUUUUCUACGAGAAAAAUGGCAUAAAAAUUGAUUUUAAACAGCGGUUGACAUGCUUCGAAGUACGGUAAUGGAAUAUUUAGAAUUUUUUUGUCACGAAUUGCGCCAUGCGCACGACCCUUAUUUACCAUUUCGGAUAGUGUCUGGGACGCACGAACAAAACGGCGCUAUUCGGAUAUAACGAUGGAUUAUUUUGGACCAAACCAACAUUUGUUAUUGAAGUGGCAGUCCUGGGAGUGCAUUCUGACGAAGACAACAAAAGACCAUUUCCGGAGACCUUCUCCCCUACCUCACCUCGCUCAUCAAC